CACGUAGGGCGCAAGCGUUGUCCGGAAUUAUUGGGCGUAAAGAGCUCGUAGGCGGUCUGUUGCGUCCGCUGUGAAAACUCGGGGCUUAACCCCGAGCCUGCAGUGGAUACGGGCAGACUAGAGGUAGGUAGGGGAGAAUGGAAUUCCCGGUGUAGCGGUGAAAUGCGCAGAUAUCGGGAGGAACACCGGUGGCGAAGGCGGUUCUCUGGGCCUUACCUGACGCUGAGGAGCGAAAGCGUGGGGAGCGAACAGGAAUUAGAUACCCGUUGUAAGUCCG
rnacentral:rRNA from 1 species